UAACCCUAGCUAGGAGGAGGUGGGGGAGUUUAUAUAGCAUAUGUCCACGAAGGGGUAAGUGAGGAGGGGAUACAUGGGUCUCUGGCCCGACUCUGCGUGCAAGCAGGGCGGUAGUACCAGCCAAAGGGCGGUAGUACCGCUCAAGCGGUAGUGCCGCUUGGGCUGAGCGGUAGUACUGGGCCCGGAUCCUGCGAACACUAGUACAUGUCGGGAUGAGCGGUAGUGGCGAGCGGCAGUGGGGGCGGUAGUACCGCUGGUCAGCGGUAGUACUGCUUACGCGGGGCGGUAGUACCGCUCGUCCUGGGUCUUCUUCCGUUGUUGCUUCCAGGCUUCCCUCGCGGACGGUGUAGUUGUUCCUUGGCGCUUGCACUCCUCCUCGUCGUCCUUAGUGUUCCGACAAUACCUAUGCAUGCACACGAGUGGAGUGUCAAGUAGUAUACCAUCCUCGAAGGGGUCAAGUGAGCACGUGUAAAGGAGAUGAUUCACCUUUGUGUAUGUGAAGUAGAUGUCGCACGUGUCACUUGCCGAACGGACCUUGACAUGGUGAUGUCCAUAGGAUGCUCCGCAUUAUCUCCCCUCCCUUGGGAAAGAUCCGACCUCAGAUCGUGAUCCUCAUCACCAUGGAAAUGGUUGUCGUAGACGAACUUGUAGUUGGACGAAGUUGAAGACAUGGCGCAAUCCAAGUAGUCCAAGGUGUCACCGGAGUGAUAGACAUGCAAAAAGAGCAAACACAAGCAACACUCGGAAAUACAAUGGUUAGCGCACACAAAGUGUCCAUGAUUUAAGAAUGAGUCCGUGCGGCAAGAUUGGUCGUGACAAAAUGCAUGAAGCUUAUCAAGAUGAUCUAGAAUGAGAUGCAAAGCAUUCAUGGGAACAAAAGCAUGGUGCACAAAGCGACAAAUUCUACCAUUGUGCAAAAUGAUGUCAUAGAGAGACGGUUCAUCAAUAGGAUGAAUAUGAUAAUGGAUGCUCAAUAUGAUUAUGUUAUCACGCAAUUGAUGAUAGGCAAUGUGAUCAUUAUGUAUGAAGAUGCCAUCAAGAAAGAUCACAACAAAUUUGCUAAGGAAAUGCACAAGCUCAUAUAUCAUGGAUGACAUAGAAAUAGGUGUAACAAGACAAGCAUAAUCGGUGUCAAUCCAUGCAUAGGGUGCAAACUUGUGGUGAGUAUGAUAUGUCCAUCGAGCAUGACAUGAGGAAGCACAAUCAACAAAUAUGUAUGUGUUGGUGCAAUGUGUCAAAGGAGUGUUGAUGUACCGAUGCUCGAUGUCGUGGCGUGAGUAGAAGUUUGAAGGUGCAUCCAAGAAGUCCGAGCGCUCCUCAAUGUGAAAGUUCAUAGAGCCAAUCUCCAAUGUCGCUCCUCCAUCCAAUAGAUGUAACAUGUACACAACAAGAAGGAAACAACAAUGAAAGAGUGACCCAUCCAAUAUUCGUAUUUGAGGAUGGCUCAAAGAGAAGGAGUUCACCUUUAUGAGGAUGGUGAAAAUGUUGGUGUCGCGCAUCGUGUAUGCCUUCGCAUGACCAAGUUGUCGCAUGACAGUACCGCCUUGUGGAUCCUUCAAAAUGAAAGAACAUGACAAACACUCAGAAAAACAAAUGAGGUUAGCGGAAGUGCAAAACCUAUCAUUUGUGUGGUAAGAUACCUAACAAGUGUAUGCAUCAUGCUCAUCAUAAGAAAGGACAAGGGAGCAUUUCAUAGUAUGGAGGCAUAUGAUGCGAUAACAACCAAAUACAAUAGGCUCAAGUAAACAAGCAUGCAUCACAAGUAAGUUGUCAAAGUCUCCAAGAGCAAUAAGCAUAGUAUGGUUGCACUCAAUACAAGGUGAUAUAAGAGAUGCAACUAAUGGAGGCAAGAGACAAUGAUCAUGGAAAUCAAGUGAGAGGCAUGAACAUAUAUGUCAUCAACCCAAGUGAUAGAGGCGGGGUGUCCCGAUCUUUCGAUGAGAGAGGAUAACUAUCGAUUUGGUGGAGACGACUUUGACGAUCCGACUACAAACAUGCACGACGUUGCGCCUUAGCAAUCGCUAAACCAACUCCGAGAGGUUAUUGACAACGCUGGGGCACGAUCAACCUGACCACGAAGGUCUUUUCCUGCAAGCAAUCGAAGAACAAGCAAAAAUAUGAUUAAGCAAUCUGAAUAUUGCGAGUAUAUAUGAAGUAUAGAUGAAAGUGGGGUUUCAUAAGCGGUCUUGGUCUGGUCGUUGGACACAAACGAAGUACACGAAGUUGCAACGAUGGCUAACUUUUAACUAAAUAAAACCCAAAGUCUAAACGACGCCCUAAGGGCUGUAUAUAUGGGGGAAGAGGAGGGAAUUUCAUGGCCCUUGAGGGUGGGGUCCGAAACCAACCCUAACUCUUGUUUCCCCACACAUACAGACUCUAAAAAUAGCCUAUACUUAAGUAUUUCGAAAUUACAUGGGCCUGGCCCAAUAAUAAGGUGACGCAGCACCUAGAAUAGCCUAUGGACGAAUAUUAUGAAGUGGCAUCUUGUAUAUUUCGUCCAAGGCUUCAUGCACUCCUUAUGGUGGCUUCAAAGUCCUGAAAUCAUCACUUGUAACUCCGUUCUUGAUCCCCUUGCGCAUGCCAUCAACUCCAUGCGUGUUCUUGCUCCAAUGUUCAUCCUUCUCCAAACUAGGCCCUUAAUUUGUAAGCAAAACAAAUGUAUCCAAUUUAGAUAGCAUCAUAUUCUCAUGAACAUUAGAAUCAUUACCAAGACAUGAAAGUACCUGGUAAUUUAAUUGGCGUGCGCGAGUUCUAGUAAUUGGUCCCAUAUAUGUAACAGUAGGGGUUGUGGGUGUAACAAUGGUAUUGAUGUCCUCAUCAUCCUCCCCUUCUGGAAAUGAAGUUGUCCUCGACGGAAGCUCAUCUUCCUCACCCAAAUAAGGCUUCAAAUCUGCAAUGUUAAAAGUGGGACUAACCCCAAAAUCUGCAGGUAGCUCAAGUUUAUAUGCAUUAUUAUUUAUUUUCUCUAACACCUUAAAAGGACCAUCAACACAUGGCAUUAGCUUUUAUUUGCGCAAAUUAGGAAAUCUAUCUUUACGCAAAUGUAACCAAACAAGAUCUCCAGGUGCAAACACAACAUGUUUUCUACCCUUAUCUCCAGCAAGUUUAUAUUUAGCAUUCAUACGCUCAAUGUUUUCCUUAGUUAACUCAUGCAUUUUUAAAAUCAAUUCAGAACGUUCUUUAGCAUCAAAAUUAACCUUCUCCGGAGAUGGAAGAGGCAACAAAUCAAUAGGUGCACGAGGUAGGAAACCAUACACAAUUUCAAAAGAGCACAUCUUAGUAGUAGAAUGCAAUGAACGAUUAUAAGCAAAUUCAAUAUGAGGCAAGCAUUCUUCCCACAUUUUCUUAUUAUUCUUCAAAACAACCCUAAGCAUAGUAGACAAUGUUCUAUUGACUACUUCAGUUUGUCCAUCAGUUUGGGGGUGACAAGUAGUACUAAAAAGCAGUUUAGUCCCCAACUUAGCCCAUAAACAUCUCCAAAAGUGGCUAAGAAAUUUAGUAUCACGAUCUGAAACAAUAGUAUUUGGCACACCAUGCAAGUGAAUAAUUUCAUGAAAGAACAAAUCAGCAACAUUAACAGCAUCAUCGCUUUUAUGACAUGGUAUAAAGUGUGCCAUUUUCGAGAAUCUAUCCACGACAACAAAUAUGCUAUCCCUCCCCUUCUUUGUUCGAGGUAAACCUAAAACAAAGUCCAUAGAUAUAUCCUCCCAAGGAACACUAGGUACAGGCAAAGGCAUAUAUAAACCAUGAGGAUUGAGUCGUGACUUAGCUCUUUGACAUGUAGUGCAGCGAGCAACAAAACGCUCAACAUCCCAUCUCAUCUUUGGCCAAAAGAAAUGUGUAGCAAGUAUAUCCUCCGUCUUCUUCACGCCAAAGUGUCCCAUUAGUCCUCCUCCAUGCGCCUCCUACAACAACAAAAGACGAAUGGAGCUAGCUGGAAUGCAUAGCUUGUUAGAACAAAACACAAAUCCAUCAUUAACGACGAACUUGUUCCAUGUUCUACCUUCUUUACAAUUCUGCAAUACAUCUAUAAAUUCAGCAUCAUGCACAUAUUGAUCUUUGAUGGUCUCCAAACCAAAUAUUUUAAAGUCAAGUUGUGAAAGCAUAGUAUAAUGACGAGACAAUGCAUCAACAAUAACAUUUUCUUUACCCUUCUUGUGUUUAAUGACAUAAGGGAAAGUCUCAAUGAAUUCAACCCAUUUAGCAUGUCUACAGUUCAGUUUUGCUUGACUUUUAGUGUGUUUCAAAGAUUCAUGAUCAGAAUGUAUAACAAAUUCUUUGGGCCAUAAAUAAUGUUGCCAUGUUUCUAAAGUCCGAAAAAGAGCAUAUAAUUCUUUGUCAUAAGUAGAAUAGUUCAGACUAGGCCCACUCAAUUUUUCAGAAAAGUAUGCAACAGGUUUGCCAUCUUGUAAUAACACACCUCCUAAUCCAAUUCCACUAGCAUCACAUUCAAGCUCAAAAGUCUUAUUAAAAUCAGGAAGUUGGAGUAAAGGAGCAUGUGUCAAAUUAUCUUUCAAUACCGUGAAGGCUUCUUCCUGUGAAGUACCCCAAACAAAAGGCACAUCCUUCUUCGUAAGCUCGUUGAGAGGUGCAGCAAUGGUGCUAAAAUGUCUCACAAAAUGCCUAUAGAAACCAGCGAGUCCAAGAAAACUCCGCACUUGUGUGACCAUCUUGGGCUGCUGCCAACUCUCAAUAGCUUCAAUCUUGGCUUUAUCAACUUCAAUUCCCUGUGGAGUAACAACAUAGCCAAGAAAAGAUACUCGGUCGGUGCAAAAGGUGCACUUCCCAAGGUUACCAAACAAACGUGCAUCACGUAGAGCAAUAAAAACAGCACAUAAAUGUUCCAAAUAUUCUUCCAAAGAUUUGCUAUAAAUCAGUAUAUCAUCAAAAUAGACUACCACAAAUCGUCCAAUGAAAGCACGUAAAACUUCGUUCAUUAGUCUCAUGAAAGUACUAGGUGCAUUAGUUAACCCAAAAGGCAUGACUAACCACUCAUAUAAACCAAACUUAGUUUUAAAUGUUGUUUUCCAUUCAUCUCCCAAUUUCAUACGAAUUUGAUGGUAUCCACUACGCAAAUCAACUUUGGAGAAUAUUGUAGAGCCACUCAAUUCAUCAAGCAUAUCAUCUAGCCUAGGAAUAGGAUGACGAUAACAAAUAGUAAUAUUAUUAAUGCCUCUACAAUCAACACACAUACGCGACGUACCAUCCUUUUUAGGCAGUAGUAUAAUAGGAACAACACAAGGACUAAGAGAUUGACGUAUAUAACCUUUGUCGAGCAGCUCCUCUACUUGACACAUAAUCUCCUUCGUCUCCUCUGGAUUGGUAUGGUAUGGUGCACGGUUGGGUAGCGAUGCACCGGGAAUUAAGUCAAUUUGAUGCUCAAUCCCUCGAAUAGGUGGUAAUCCCGGUGGCACGUCCUGUGGAAAGACGUCAGCGAACUCCUGCAAAAUGUUAGUGACAGCGGGGGGCAAAGAGGAAGGCACGUCCUCGAAUGAAAAUAAUGCCUCUUUGCACACAAAAGCAUAGCAAAUAGAUUUGCUAAAAUCUAGCUCAUCAGUAUCAGAUUUGGUGGCAAGUAAACAUGCACUUUUCAAUUUAAUUUCAGAAGCAACACUAGAUGGUUUAUUAUUAGGCUUCAUUUGUUGCUCAAAUUCUUUUGCCACAAUCUGAUUUUCCCUCUUAUUUUUCUCCUGUUUUGCUUUAUUAGCUCUAUUAAUAUCAUCUUUCAAAAUGGAAUCAGGAGUCAUAGGAAGCAAAGUAAUAUUUUUAUCCUUAUGAACAAGAGUAUACUGAUUGUUUCUACCAUGGUGUACAAAAUUUUUAUCAAAUUGCCAUGGUCUACCAAGUAAUAAGGAACAUGCUUGCAUAGGUAGCACAUCACAAUCAACAUAAUCAGCAUAUGUAGAGAUACUAAAAUGCGCACGAACAGUACGUGUUACCUUAACCUUGCCGCUGUUGUUGAACCAUUGGAUGUAGUAAGGAUGUGGAUGUGGUCUGGUGGUAAGAGAUAGCUUCUCCACCAUCUCCAUGCUAGCCAAGUUGUUGCAGCUCCCUCCAUCUAUGAUGACGCGAAUAGAAUGUUCCUUCACAACUCCCUUUGUAUGGAACAAAUUAUGCCUCUGAUUUUGCUCAGCUUGUAUAACCUGCACACUCAAAACACGUUGAGCAACUAAACAUUCAUACCUGUCAGCAUCUUCAGUAGCCAUGUAUUGCGUCUCAUGAUCAGAAUCAUCUCCAUCGUGUUCUUCAUGUGUAAUAAGAGCCAAAGUCUCCUCAUCAUAGUCACUAGCGUACUCAUACCCACCAUCCUCAGUAGCAAUCAUCACACGCUGAGAUUUGCAUUCUCUCGCAAAAUGUCCUCUUCCCUUACAACGACGACAAAUAAUAUCACUUGUGUGCCCUGUUGAAGCCAUGGAAGAAGAAGAGCUUUGUGCAGGCCCGACAGGUGUGCUCUUGGUAGAUAGUGGUGGUUGUGCCUGCUUUCUUGUAUCACGGUUGGAGGUGGCACCUGAAGGAGGUGAUGGUGCAGUGGAAGUAGAUGAUGCACGUGGUGUCCAUGAUGAAGGUCGACCUGUAGAAAAGUUAGUGCGCGCCAAUGCCUGUCGAUCCUGCACUUCACGUUCAGCUUUACAAGCAAGAUGGAAUAAACGAGUGAUAUUAUUAUAAUCCUUAUAGUCUAGAAUGGUCUGAAUCUCUCUAUUUAAUCCACCCAGAAAACGUGCAAGCAUAGCUUCAUUCUCCUCAACAAUACCACAUCUAAUCAAGCCAGUUUGUAAUUCCUGAUAAUAUUCUUCUACAGAAUUUUUUCCUUGUCUUAAGCGCUGCAAUUUUUGAAGUAAUUCACGUUGAUAAUAUGGUGGAACCCAACGAGUACGCAUAGCAGUUUUCAAAGCAGCCCAAGUAGCUGGAACAGGAUAUAAUCGACAAUGUUCAGACCACCAAACACAUGCAAAGCUAGUGAAAGCACAAACAGCAGCAGGAACACGUCUCUCCUCAGGAUAUUGUAAACAUGUAAAUCAUUGUUCAGUUUCUAACUCCCAAGUAAGAUAUAUAUCAGGAACAUAUCGACCCUCAAAUGGUGGAAUAUUCAAUUUCAGUUUAGGGAGAAGGUCAUGAUCUCGUACCUGAAGGGGAGCCCUAAAAUUGCCUUUAUUUGCAUGUGGACGACCUGGUGGUUGUGGUGCUGGUGGUUGCACGUAGUUCUGAUUUUGAUCAACUUCAUCCUCCUAAUCUCCCACAUAAUCAUCCUCCUCCGCAUCAGCAGCAGGAGCCACAGAAGUAUCGACAGCAGCACCAACAGUUUGGCCAAGCGCAAGAGGGACACGGGUCGCUCGGCGGAGGGCUCUUUCGCGAUGUGGAGGUCGUCGGUGCUGUUGUUGUGGUUGUAGAGGUGCGUUAGGUGCAGCCGGUGGUGGUGGUGGAAGACACGCGAGCAAUUCAUUAAACUUGUUAUCGAGCUUUGUGUCGAACAUCUUCUCCAUGCCAUCUAUCUUCUCCAUGGCCUCUUCAAAUCUGUUUAGCACAUCCUGCACCUGUCCACUCAUCAUUUGCUGAAAUUUAUCAUGCAACUCUUUAUUCGUCAUGUUCUCCCAGUCAGUCUCGUCGGCUUGUGAUCCUGGCAUGGUUAGCAGCAACAGAAACACAAAUGAAUAUGAUCCUACAGACUACUAACAAGAGGUGGUGGUGGGUGUCACAAAUCCGUCAAGCAAAUCUCAAAUUCUUACCAGUUCUUACCCAGCAGCAGGCGGUGAUCGGCAACCGUUGUAGUCAAAACUCUCAAAAGCUUGGAUAGAGCGGUUGCCAGGGAGAGUCAAACGCACGACGUAGAUGUAUGUGGAGCUGGGAAGGCUUAUAAUAUGGUAGCAAAAAGGGUCACCAAUAAUCAAUUCAGAGAUGCAAAGUUGAAUAAACGCUCAACGACGGUACUGUGCUGGUCCUAGGCUAGACCGUGCUAGAGACGCGAGCCUAGAACACUAACAAAAUCACGGUGCUACACGUAAACAAGGGAGGAGCACACUCUGAAUUUUUUCCUCUUUUUUUUUCUUUUUUUUUGCACUUUUUUUUGCUCCGCAACAAUUUUUUUUUUCGAAAAAGUCUACAAAUGGUCUAAAAACUGCCUAGCCAGAUUUUUUUUUGAAACUGGAACUAUUUUUCUUCUGCGGAUGGUACGGAAGUUGGGGAGUCCUUCUCUGUCACGACUCGGAGUAUGGCGUGAUCUGGAAAUCCAAAACAAAGCAACAAUUACUGGACUCAGACUAGGACUGGUGGCGGAGAGGAAUCUGGUGGAAUCUCGGACUGGUGGCGGAGAUGAAUCUGGUGGAACUCGGACUGGUGGCGGAUAUAUGUUGCAGGUGGACUCGAAUUGGCGUGAUGGCGACGGAUAUGUGGUGGCGUAUAUGGACUCGGAUUGGCGGUGAAUAUGUCAUGAUAUAUGGCAGCGGUGAUGAUGAUAAUGCGGUGGUGAUAUAUGGCAGCAGCGAUGUUGAUGAUGCGGUGGUGAUAUAUGGCAGCGGCGACGUGACAACCUAUGAACAGAACUCGAAACUCUAAAGGACUAGACGCUAAGACCAGCAACUUGACACGACGAUGCAACCGCAAAAUCAACAAAGCAAAUACAGAAAAGAUUAUGCAAAGGCUCAGAUUGGUUCAGAUAGGAUGAACUAACCCUAAUUUUGUUUGGCUUUUUCAUGGACUGUUGGUAUGAAAAACAAACUCGAUCUAAACUAUGAAAAACUAUAAAAUCUCACCGAGCAACCUGAAAAUCUGAUACCACUUGAUAGAGGCGGGGUGUCCCGAUCUUUCGAUGAGAGAGGAUAACUAUCGAUUUGGUGGAGACGACUUCGACAUCCGACUACAAACGUGCACGACGUUGCGCCUUAGCAAUUGCUAAACCAACUCCGAGAGGUUAUUGACCACGCUGGGGCACGAUCAACCUGACCACGAAGGUCUAUUCCUACAAGCAAUCGAAGAACAAGCAAGAAUAUGAUUAAGCAAUCUGAAUAUUGCGAGUAUAUAUGAAGUAUAGAUGAAAGUGGGGUUUCAUAAGCGGUCUUGGUCUGGUCGUUGGACACAAACGAAGUACACGAAGUUGCAACGAUGGCUAACUUUUAACUAAAUAAAACCCAAAGUCUAAACGACGCCCUAAGGGCUGUAUAUAUGGGGGAAGAGGAGGGAAUUUCGUGGCCCUUGAGGGUGGGGUCCGAAACCAACCCUAACUCUUGUUUCCCCACACAUACGGACUCUAAAAAUAGCCUAUACUUAAGUAUUUCGAAAUUACAUGGGCCUGGCCCAAUAAUAAGGUGACGCAGCACCUAGAAUAGCCUAUGGACGAAUAUUAUGAAGUGGCAUCUUGUAUAUUUCGUCCAAGGCUUCAUGCACUCCUUAUGGUGGCUUCAAAGUCCUGAAAUCAUCACUUGUAACUCCGUUCUUGAUCCCCUUGCGCAUGCCAUCAACUCCAUGCGUGUUCUUGCUCCAAUGUUCAUCCUUCUCCAAGCUAGGCCCUUCAUUUGUAAGCAAAACAAAUGUAUCCAAUUUAGGUAGCAUCAUAUUCUCAUGAACAUUAGAAUCAUUACCAAGAAACGAAAGUACCUGGUAAUUUAAUUGGCGCAGGCGAGCUGUAGUAAUUGGUCCCGUAUAUGUAACAGUAGGGGUUGUGGGUGUAACAAUGGUAUUAAUGUCCUCAUCACCAAGAAAGCAAGAGAUAGUGGAACAUGGGUGAUGCAACAUAGCAAGCAAUCAUAGCGAUCAAGUCAAGCAAGCUAGUAGUGCGAAGAUGCAACGUACUAGAAGGAAUCAUGGCAAGCAUGUCACUGGUGCAAAUAGUGGGCAUGACUAAUUCACAUGUCAUAGCACAAGCAUAAAGGCAAGAUAUGAGCAAAAUAGCAUCAAUAGCAUGGGGCACAUGAUAAACAUGGCAAUAGCAACAAUGAUCUCCACCAAGCAUGCAAAUACACAUAGGAGUAGCAUAAUGGUGAAUCAUGGGUAGAUGCAAGCAAGGGUCACAAUUGCAUGGCAAAGGUAUAGAAGCAAGCAUAGCAUGCAAAGUGAAAACGGUAAGAUGAGCAUGAAGCGACAAGUGAUAUAUAGCCCAUAGCCGUGUGAGAGACAAGUAAAAGAGAUGCACGUAGUCGAUGCGCAAAAGGAAUGGUGGGAAUGAAAGUCCACAGGAUCCCAAGUCAUCAUUGCUCUCAAGAGCUCGUUUCGUCAACUCAUGGGAUCGGGAAGUUGACGAGUAUACGUGAGUACCUACACAAAACAAAGACAAAGGGAAAAUUGUGUGUGCGUGGUAGAUGUACGCAUCAUCCAUCAUGAUGCAUACGUGCUUGUGUUGGUUAGCACCAAAUAUCCAAUGCUCAAAUAAAUGAGAUGCGUGAUAUAGAAACAUGUCAUCCAUCAUGAGAGGUUUGUUGUUAUGCAUAGCAUAAUGGAGACUCAAAUUGUGUAAUGCAUCAUGAGAAAUAUCGAGAGCAUUGUUAUUCAUGGAAUGCAUAUGGUGCAAGAAAUCAUGGGAAUCAUGCAAAGUAUGGAAUGCAUCAAGAUCUCCUAAUAUGUAUGAGGAAACUAUGGGGGUCUCCUCAUGAGCAUUAAUGGAAACAUCACAUGGAGAAUAUUGACAACAUCCAAAACAAUGCAUAUUUCGAACAAUGUGAUCAUGGCAUGACAUAGUAGAUGAAUUGCGCAAAUCAUGUAAAGGAAGCAUGGCAAUAUCAUCGCAUGAAAAACAAAAGCCAAUGACCAUCAUCUCGUCAUCUAUGCCAUAAGUGCAAAUAGGAUUUAUUUUAAUGGGGCAUGUAUAGUUAUUAUGUUGAGAUUGAAAUGAUGUAAUAUGGGAGAUCUCACUCAUAGCAUAUGACAAGUUCAAAGGAUUGUCAAACAUGAAGUGACCAAUAGAAUUUUCACAAGAUAUCCUAUGAAGCAUAGCAUCACAACUAAGCAACUCAACAUGCUCAUCAUCAUAUUCAUCAUAAAUAGGUAAGUCAUGACAUGAAGAAGUCGUACUAGCAUGAAGCAUGGGAAUAGGUGGAUCAACAUCAUGCAAGCAAUCAUUGUCAAGAGAGUCCACUAGUGGGACAAGAGAAGCACCAUCACCUAUGUUACCGUUGGAGCGUCGCUCAUGUGUUGUAGGUGAGGUGUUGAAGAUCGUCUCGUUGUCAUCUUCAUCUUGAUGGAACCAUGUGGGGGUGCAUCAUUGUCCACCAUGGCCAUCGGUUUUCCUUUUGGAGGGAUGGACUCGUCGAGGAUAGGCAUGUCGUCAUGUAGGAGACCUAGCACCAAAGAAGAAAACACACUAGGAGUAUUGGUUAAGUCAUUAGAAAUCAUAGUGGCCUCACAUGCCGUGUCAACUACCUCACUCACUAAGUGUUGUGGCUCACUCACUCCCUCUUGGAUGCUCUCACUCAUAUGGUUGGUGGAGUCACUCAAAUGGCGCUCAACCGCACAUAGGAUGUGUGGCAUGCUCUCAUCUGUGGGGCUAGUGGUGGUCACACUCAUCCUCUCAUAGGAAAUGCACUCAAUGUCAUAUAUGGUGGAGUCACUCAUAUCACUCAUGGGUUGGUGGCUCUCCUCACAUGACAAAUGGGGCAGCUCAACAUAUGUGGGUGUCGGAGAGGUGUAGGUGCAAAUGUCUCCAUGCACGGUCGCGUAGCUUGACUCGGAGUAUGAGUCCAAUAUGGGCGCCGUCUUCAUGUUGUAGAAGAAAUUCGCGCUCGUCGCCGUGGUCGAAGGGGAUGGUCCUUGCUCGACCGUCUUGUCACCGUCUUGGUGUUGGAGGCCCAUAUGAUGUGGAACCUCGUAGCUCGUCUCCAUGACCGAAGGGAAUGUCCCAUGCUCGGCCAUCUUCCUUGAGGGGCUUCCGAAGAUUGAAGUGUCGCCCUGGCUCGUAGGCGUACACGUGGGAAGUAGGCGAAGAUGCCGUACGUCCAAAGGCGAAGAUGCCUUGAUAGCACUUGGCGAAGAUGCCGAAGUGGUCGUUGUAGCCGUAGCACCGUCUUUGUGGUGGUCGUCUCGCGAUCCUCUUGUGUGCUCUUGAAGCUUGGACUUGGCGUGAAGUAGGGCUUGUUGGGACUUGUGCAUUUGCGCUUGUGAAGCAUCUUCAUGAUGAUGAUGUCGUUGUCGUGCUUGAGCUCGUAGAAGAUGCCAUUCGUCGUCGUUGUGCACAUGAUGCUUGGAGGUGACUUGCCCUUCAUGACGAUGUUGAUCACGAAUGUGAUGGUGGUCGCCAUGUCGAUGUGGACGAGGAUGAUUUGCGCUUGCAUCGUUUCCGCGCUCCGAAGGCUUGUGUCUUGAAUGUCGCCGCCUUGAGGAUGACAAAGGGGAAGAAGACUUGAUCAAGGCCCUAAUCUCCUCCAUCCUUGCAUCUUGCUCCUCUUUAUGUGGGGAAAGCUUCUUGUCGAUGUAGUCCCUUUUCCUUGCUUCGGAGAGAUGAAUGUCGGGAGAGGUUCUCAAUGCGCUCUUGCAAUCUUGAUUGUGCGCCUUGCGUUUGUCGUUGUAGAUCAAAGAUUGACGCUUUGGUGAUGUAGUUGUUCAUGCCGUUGUUGUUGUCGAAGACCGGAGAGGAAAUGCCUUGCCUAUCCAUCACAAACUCGAGAAAAUAUGAGUGGGAGAAAGAGAAGAACUUAUACCAAAUGUACCUUGACUGGUGUUGAAGAUGGAUCAAUGAUCACUCAAAUGUGUAACAAGGAAAUAUCACAAUUGGUACCAAUUCUUGUCGGUUCUCACACCUACACAAGUAAAGCUUAUGGUGGAGCUCGGUGAGGAUAGUGGCACAAAAAUUUGAUGCAAAAUGUUAGCAAGAGUCAAUAAUGUUGAAAGAGAUUCACAAAUUCGCAAGAGAAACAAGUAGACCAAUAGCAAUGGAUGGCACACCGAAACGCACACACGGAUAGAUAAAUGGGGUCGUGCAACCAAGGAGUGAGCUCAAAAUUUGGAAUCCACGAAAAACGCUCGUGUUGCACAACUCAAGAGAGACGCUAGCACGAUUGCUCAAUAGGCGGAUACGACACUUGUGCACAACCUAUGAUAUGCAAAAUGGAUAAACUUUCUAUCCCAAGUAUGCUAUGUAUGUAUGGUUCCCGGUGUUUGAUCCAAGAUGAUCGGAUAUGACAAUCUUAUAUGUAAAGUGGUAUGAUGCUAUGGUUCUUGCUUAUAAGCUCUUUGCUUAUCUUUCUCUUUUGCUUAAAAAGCUUAUUCUCUUUUUUUUCUAUGGCCACUUUUGCACAAUGCGCAAACCAAGAUAGCUAUUGUGUAUAUGCGGGAACAAACUUGUGACACAAGAUAUGAUACCAAUAUAUGCACCACGAUGAUAUGGUAUGUAUGCUAUGGGAAGUAUGAUCACUAAUGUGCACAAGUAACGUUGCCGGCAAUGCUCAAAUGGCUAGUCUCGAUAGGUAAGUAACGCAAAAUGGGCUAGGGGUUAACAGUGCAAUGGCAAGGGGAAUAUACAAUGGAGGGAUACCACGAUACGAAGAUGAUAUGGAGGUUACCGUCCGGCGAUGAUGAGUAGCAGCGUUCUUGAAGUAGAUACCAAGAUUAUGUAGACUCGUCCCUAAGUAGCCGAAACACCUUAGGAAACGGAAAAACCGCGAACUCAAAAUCUCACACGUCAAAUGUGAAAAUGGUGCUAGCGGAAAGCGGUGGUGGUUUGCACUUGGCAAUGCGGAAGUGGAAUGAUGGGCUAUACACGGUGUAAGAGUUGGAAGCACACGGUCCCUAAGUAGCCAAAACACCUUAGGAGACACAAGCCACAACUCGAAAAAGCUCAAUCAACAAUUGGAUUAAGUUGGGUUGUCGGAAGUGUAUGGUGGGCAAGACUAUGCGGAAGUUAUGGAGGUGGUGGUUGAUGAACAAGCAACCGUCCCUAAGUAGCCUAAACACCUUUGGAGACUCAAAUCUCAACACAACAAGAUUGGGUUAAGUUGGGGUGGCGGAAGUGUAUGGUGGGCAAGCCUAUUCGGAAGUUAUGGAGGUGGUUGAUGAAGAAGCAACCGUCCCUAAAUAGCCUAAACACCUUAGGAGACUCAAGUCACUACUCAAACAACCUCAAAUGCUAUGGUGAACAAAAAGGGUUAGUUUGCGGAAGGCUAUGGUGGUAUUGCGGAUGAUGUGGUGGAAGCCCUAGGCAAAGAUGCCAAAGUACCAAAAAUUUGAUGGUGUCAAAAGGUGGUGAAACCAAGGUGAGGACCUCAGGCACGUCGAUAGCUUCAAAACGAGCCAAAGAACACUCAAAUCGGAGUUCGGAGUGAAAAGUUAUGGGCAAAACAGUGAAACUCGGAAUGCUGAAACUGGCAUGGGCGGAAGUACUGCUCAGGAGGGCGGUAGUACCGCUCGUAAGCAGUAGUACCGCUAGGAAUGGGCGGUAGUACCGCUCGUGUCGGGAUUUUUUGACUGUUUCGGCUGAAACAGGGCCUAGCGGUAGUACCGUUCGCGGGGCGGUAGUACCGCUUAUGUUGCUAAGCGGUAGUACCGCUUGGAGGGCGGUAGUACCGCUCGAGACGGGAUUUUUCGCAAAAUCUGGAUCGGGGCGCGAUUUUGGGGUGGAAAUGGAUGAUUUCGGGGUGGAAAUGGAUGAUUUCGGGGUCAAAAUUGGAGAGAUUUUGUGGAUGGAAGGAUGGGGAAACUUGGGGAGAUGCUAGAUCCACUUGAAACCAAGCAAAUCCAUGGAUCAAAAUCAACAAAACAUCAUCAAAACUAACAAAUCACAAAAAAAUUUGGGGGCUAUUUUUGGUGGGGAUUUUCGGAUUUAGGACGAAAACAACAAAAUCAAGCUAGAAAACACGGGGUAGGGGCUCCAAAAACAUGAUCAAUGUGGCUCUUGAUACCAAGAUGAUGUAGGGCGGAACCCUAUGGGGACGAUCUUUCACGUUUGGAGAGAAUCCCUACGAGGAACACGAAGAACGAGCGGGAAAGCAUGAGGGAAAUCACGGGGAAAACACUAGAGAAUCACUCAGACCAACAAGAUCAGUCACACAUGUGCUAGAUCGAUGAACACAAAGGGAGAUACAUGAUCCAAAGUCAACAAAGGACGAUACAAAUGGUAGCCGUUCUUCUCCAUCAGGAGGUCUUGAUGAUGGUCUUCUCCGCAAAGGAGGUCUUGAAUCCAAGGUGGAUCUUCUCCGAAGAGGGGCCGCGGUCUCUCACGAGGAGGAGAUCCGAUAUGGAUGAGCGAAGCUCUAUCUAACAAUGAGCUAAAUCAACGCUAACCCUAGCUAGGAGGAGGUGGGGAAGUUUAUAUAGCAUAUGUCCAUGAAGGGGUAAGUGAGGAGGGGAUACAUGGGCCUCUGGCCCGACUCUGCGUGCAAGCAGGGCGGUAGUACCGGCCAAAGGGCGGUAGUACCGCUCAAGCGGUAGUGCCACUUGGGCUGAGCGGUAGUACCGGGCCCGGAUCGUGCGAACACUAGUACUUGUCGGGAUGAGCGGUAGUGGUGAGCGGCAGUGGG
rnacentral:lncRNA from 1 species